rnacentral:pre_miRNA from 1 species
CUUGUACUCCCUCCGUCCAAAAAUACUUGUCAUUGAAAUGGAUGUAUCUAGAUGUAUUUUAGUUCUAGACACAUCCAUUUUGAUGACAAGUAAUUCCGGACGGAG